GGCCAGAUAGCUCAGUCGGUAGAGCAAAGGACUGAAAAUCCUUGUGUCGCUGGUUCGAUUCCAGCUCUGGCCACCA
rnacentral:tRNA from 2 species